UACGUAGGUGGCAAGCGUUGUCCGGAAUUACUGGGUGUAAAGCGCGUGUAGGCGGGAGGCCAAGUCUGCUGUGAAAUCGCUCGGCUCAACUGGGCGAGGUCGGUGGAAACUGGUCCCUGGAGGACGGUAGAGGCGAGUGGAAUUCCCGGUGUAGUGGUGAAAUGCGUAGAGAUCGGGAGGAACACCAGUGGCGAAGGCGGCUCGCUGGGCCGGUCCUGACGCUGAGACGCGAAGGCGUGGGGAGCGAACGGG
rnacentral:rRNA from 1 species